rnacentral:rRNA from 1 species
CGAACGCUGGCGGCGUGCUUAACACAUGCAAGUCGAACGGAAAGGCCCUGCUUUUGUGGGGUGCUCGAGUGGCGAACGGGUGAGUAACACGUGAGUAACCUGCCCUUGACUUUGGGAUAACUUCAGGAAACUGGGGCUAAUACCGGAUAGAAGCUCCUGCUGCAUGGUGGGGGUUGGAAAGUUUCGGCGGUUGGGGAUGGACUCGCGGCUUAUCAGCUUGUUGGUGGGGUAGUGGCUUACCAAGGCUUUGACGGGUAGCCGGCCUGAGAGGGUGACCGGCCACAUUGGGACUGAGAUACGGCCCAGACUCCUACGGGAGGCAGCAGUGGGGAAUAUUGCACAAUGGGCGGAAGCCUGAUGCAGCAACGCCGCGUGCGGGAUGACGGCCUUCGGGUUGUAAACCGCUUUCGCCUGUGACGAAGCGUGAGUGACGGUAAUGGGUAAAGAAGCACCGGCUAACUACGUG